AUUGAACGCUGGCGGCAGGCCUAACACAUGCAAGUCGAACGAGUGGCGGACGGGUGAGUAAUGUCUGGGAAACUGCCCGAUGGAGGGGGCUAACUACUGGAAACGGUAGCUAAUACCGCAUACCAUCGGAUGUGCCCAGAUGGGAUUAGCUAGUAGGUGGGGUAACGGCUCACAUAGGCGACGAUCCCUAGCUGGUCUGAGAGGCUGACCAGCCACACUGGAACUGAGACACGGUCCAGACGCCUACGGUAGGCAGCAGUGGGGAAUAUUGCACAAUGGGCGCAAGCCUGAUGCAGCCAUGCCGCGUGUAUGAAGAAGGCCUUCGGGUUGUAAAGUACUUUCAGCGGGGAGGCGUUACCCGCAGAGGAAGCACCGGCUAACUCCGUGCCAGCAGCCGCGGUAAUUC
rnacentral:rRNA from 1 species